UUUGAAAGGUGUGUAUGUGUAUUUCUCUGUGUAUGUAUCUAUAUCUCUAUCUGUAUUAUACAGAUAGAGAUAUAGAUACACACACACACAUUCCCAGCCUACACACACACAA